UACGGGGGGGGCGAGCGUUGUCCGAAUUUACUGGGCGUAAAGCGCGUGUAGGCGGGUUGUUAAGUCCGCUGUGAAAGCCCGGUGCUCAACGCCGGAGGGUCGGUGGAUACUGGCAGUCUUGAAGUGGCUAGGGGGAAAUGGAAUUACCGGUGUAGCGGUGAAAUGCGUAGAUAUCGGUAGGAACACCAGUGGCGAAGGCGGUUUCCUGGAGCUAACUUGACGCUGAGACGCGAAAGCUGGGGGAGCAAACGGG
rnacentral:rRNA from 1 species